UGUGAGAGAGAGAGAGAGAGAUGGUAAUGUUUUUGAAAAUGCUACAAUUUUCCUGUUUUAACGACUUACAAAUGAAAAGGAAUGAAUUCAAUGAACUCACAAUUCUCCAGAUUGCCCACCAAUACGUGAGCUCAUCUGUAUAAUUUGCUCAUACACUUUAGGCUGCAAUAAAUCUCAACGUUUCACUCACUUUCAUAAUAAUCUUCUUCAUCUCCAAAACUGAAAACUGAAGCAUCCGCCUUGAUAUCACUCACCCUGACAGAAUCCAGGUUUCGAAUCUCAAGGCCUGAGGCAGGUUUCUGAAUCCCAUCAACAGUUUGCCCCUUUGAAGCAUUAAUAUGGGCAAAUUCUUAACUACCAAGCAACAUUUGCUUGGUUCCAUGUGCUAAGCUCCUCAUUUGCUCUGUUGUGAUGUUAGAUGGGCGACUAGAUUGAGUGGAUCCAACUCCAGAAUUGGUAGCUUGCCUGCUCUUUGGACUACUAGUUUCUUCUCCAUCACUAUCCGAGAAUAUAUCAUCUUCAUCUUGGAGACUUAUCUUUGGUUGGAAUUUGUUGGAACUUUACUACUUGGCUUCGGAAUAUAACCUGAACUUGUAGUACCAUCGGAUCCUUUAGCGGCAGUAUCAGCUUUAGACCUUGCUGGCAUCGCAACUUCAACUUGAAACCCUGGAGAAGGCAGUUUUCUCUGCAAAGCACAAUCGAAAGGCCAUCAAAAGAAAGCAGGUGAGAAAUGAGAAAUCUAACUUGAUUACUGUCUGAUGUAUCUACUGAAUAAGAUAAAUAACAAAAAGACAGCAUCAUUUACCUUGUCAAAACCCAUCAAGAUGGGAUCCAUUUAGUGUUUCUCUAUUAUCUGUCAUUUUUUUAUUUAACCAUCUGACGCACGAAAAGUUGAAAGGAGACAAGAAGGGGAAAAGAGGCAUCUUCAGUCUCAAGAAUUGUAAUAGAAAGAAGGCUCCUUAAAUUUUGACAAGAAAUUUCUACAAAUGGCCAACUCUUUUAGCAUAAUGUCCUAAUAGGUGUUUCAAAUAGGGAGUUCACAAACCAGUAGAAAUCUCCUUGACGAUCAUGAAAGUUCCCAACGAACUCCGUCAGGCCAGGCUCCCCUGGUGGAGCAAAUACCACAAUCCCUUUCGUUGGUGCACUAAUCCAGAAAUCUUCUGGCUGCAAAAGUGUAUUUGGCAUGCAUUAAAUCCUUAGUUCUGGGAUGCUUUUUUGUUGAGAACAGAACCCCUCUCAAUAAAGGAAAACACAUCGCUAUGAUUACACAUGGUAAUAGAACGCCUUAUCCAAUGAGGACAUUUGUGAAGCCGAAAUUCCCUAAGCAUGCACCUUCAUUCAGGCUGAUUUUCUCCAUUGAAGUAUGUUAAUAUACGUUCGAAUUAUUUGACAUACCUAAUCUGACAUGGUAGAACUAGAGCCUUCCCAUCCACGCAUCUUUUCUGGUUGAAGCAAUCAAUGGCCUCGUUGGCUGUUGGAAAGAACUGUACACAGAAGGCAAAGAAAAUAAUAAUAUGAUGAAGGAAAAAAUAGCCUAUAUAACCCAUAAAAGAAUGAAGUUCCACAAAACUACCCCCAACUCUUAAUGAGAUUCUGUUGAAGCCUCGCCUUAAGGAACAGAAGUAGGCUACUUACCAUUAAACCUGUACUGCCCAUACCAGCUUUACAGUGU
rnacentral:misc_RNA from 1 species